rnacentral:rRNA from 1 species
GCUAAUACCGCAUACGUCCUACGGGAGAAAGCAGGGGAUCUUCGGACCUUGCGCUAAUAGAUGAGCCUAAGUCGGAUUAGCUAGUUGGUGGGGUAAAGGCCUACCAAGGCGACGAUCUGUAGCGGGUCUGAGAGGAUGAUCCGCCACACUGGGACUGAGACACGGCCCAGACUCCUACGGGAGGCAGCAGUGGGGAAUAUUGGACAAUGGGGGGAACCCUGAUCCAGCCAUGCCGCGUGUGUGAAGAAGGCCUUAUGGUUGUAAAGCACUUUAAGCGAGGAGGAGGCUACUUUAGAUAAUACCUAGAGAUAGUGGACGUUACUCGCAGAAUAAGCACCGGCUAACUCUGUGCCAGCAGCCGCGGUAAUACAGAGGGUGCAAGCGUUAAUCGGAUUUACUGGGCGUAAAGCGCGCGUAGGCGGCUAAUUAAGUCAAAUGUGAAAUCCCCGAGCUUAACUUGGGAAUUGCAUUCGAUACUGGUUAGCUAGAGUGUGGGAGAGGAUGGUAGAAUUCCAGGUGUAGCGGUGAAAUGCGUAGAGAUCUGGAGGAAUACCGAUGGCGAAGGCAGCCAUCUGGCCUAACACUGACGCUGAGGUGCGAAAGCAUGGGGAGCAAACAGGAUUAGAUACCCUGGUAGUCCAUGCCGUAAACGAUGUCUACUA